rnacentral:rRNA from 1 species
AACGGGGGGUGCGAGCGUUGUCCGGAAUCACUGGGCGUAAAGGGUGCGUAGGCGGCCGUGCAAGUCUGGCGUGAAAGCCCCGGGCUCAGCCCGGGAAGUGCGCUCGAAACUGCGCGGCUCGAGUGCCGGAGGGGAGAGUGGAAUUCCUGGUGUAGCGGUGAAAUGCGUAGAUAUCAGGAGGAAUACCGGUGGCGAAAGCGACUCUCUGGACGGCAACUGACGCUGAGGCACGAAAGCGUGGGGAGCAAACAGG